GAGUGGCGAACGGGUGAGUAACACGUGACCAACCUGCCUCUUACAUUGGGACAACCAAAAGAAAUUCUGGCUAAUACCAAAUACUCCGCACAUAUCACAUGAUGUAUGCGGGAAAGCUUUUGCGGUAAGAGAUGGGGUCGCGGCCCAUUAGGUAGACGGCGGGGUAGAAGCCCACCGUGCCGAUGAUGGGUAGCCGGGUUGAGAGACCGACCGGCCACAUUGGGACUGAGAUACGGCCCAGACUCCUACGGGAGGCAGCAGUGGGGAAUAUUGCGCAAUGGGGGAAACCCUGACGCAGCAACGCCGCGUGCGGGAUGAAGGCCUUCGGGUUGUAAACCGCUUUCAGCAGGGAAGACAUCGACGGUACCUGCAGAAGAAGCCCCGGCUAACUACGUGCCAGCAGCCGCGGUAAUACGUAGGGGGCGAGCGUUAUCCGGAUUCAUUGGGCGUAAAGCGCGCGCAGGCGGUUGCUCAAGCGGAACCUCUAAUCUCGGGGCUUAACCUCGAGCCGGGUUCCGAACUGGACGACUCGAGUGCGGUAGAGGCAGAUGGAAUUCCCGGUGUAGCGGUGGAAUGCGCAGAUAUCGGGAAG
rnacentral:rRNA from 1 species